GGUGCCAUGGUCAAGUGGUCAAGACACUGCCCUUUCACGGCAGUAGCACGGGUUCGAAUCCCGUUGGCAUCACCA
rnacentral:tRNA from 1 species